rnacentral:rRNA from 1 species
UGGGGAAUAUUGGACAAUGGGCGAAAGCCUGAUCCAGCCAUGCCGCGUGUGUGAAGAAGGUCUUCGGAUUGUAAAGCACUUUAAGUUGGGAGGAAGGGCAGUAAAUUAAUACUUUGCUGUUUUGACGUUACCGACAGAAUAAGCACCGGCUAACUCUGUGCCAGCAGCCGCGGUAAUACAGAGGGUGCAAGCGUUAAUCGGAAUUACUGGGCGUAAAGCGCGCGUAGGUGGUUCGUUAAGUUGGAUGUGAAAUCCCCGGGCUCAACCUGGGAACUGCAUUCAAACUG